GCCUACAGCCAUACCACCCUGAACACGCUGGAUCUCCUCUGAUCUCAGAAGCUAAGCAGGGUUGUGCUUGGAUAGUACUUGGAUGUGAAGUAAUGUAAAAUCUGCUUCCCAGUCUCUUCCACUGUGGCCA
rnacentral:rRNA from 1 species